GCCUUUGUGGUACAGCGGUUAGCACGUUCGACGUGUAUUCGAAAGGUCCGUGGUUCGAGUCCCGGCGAGGGCA
rnacentral:tRNA from 1 species